rnacentral:ncRNA from 2 species
AUACAGCAUUGCCGGUGCCCCUUUGUGGGCUGAGAUUAUACGGUCGGAACUUGAUCUAGUUAAUACUAGCGAAAAGAAAAUGCACCUGUAUUAGA